AUAACAAUCUAUUUAAAGAAAUACAAUGUCAGAAAUGUCUAAGGUGAUCCUUAAAACCAGGAGGUGACUAUCCUUCCAUGUAGUUUUAAAUUGUGACUUUAGGGCACCAUCCAUUCAGGGUUGAUUAGACCAAUUUCAUAUUUUACUACAGAUCAGGUCUGUGAGAUUGAGUGGUUAUAGUUCACUCUCAGGUAUGCUGCAAGAGUUCAGCCAAGUAUGAAUUUCUAAUCUGGCUUUCUUUUUUCUUUACAGCAUCGAAAGGCAGCCAAAAUAAUGUUACACCGAUUGUUGUAGCCAUCGUCUUAUCUUUGUGUUGUUUUGGCUAUAAUUUGAAUUUAUCAUCGAAGGAGAAAACAAAAUAAAGCAGAGAACAUGGAAAAUACAGUCUAUGAAGAUCCUCAGGCUGUGAAUACAGACCUCCCUCUGCAGCAGAGACCAACAAAUGAUGCCCCAGCUGGUCCUCUACCCUCCAACUACUCCUUGUUGGGGCCUCCCAUCGUCUCUGAAGCACCCACUCAGCCCAGAGACAACGCUCAGCCAGAGAGCCUGUAUGCAGAGGUGGAAAAACUUCCAAAGUCCUGAAACAGUUCAAUAUGAUGUCUUCAACACACUUCUCUUGCAGGAAUGACCUCUUUAGUUUAGUUUAGUUUAGUUUAGUAACAGUGAAGGACUUCUGACUGCGUCUUCUUUUUCUGUGCAUCGGUCGUGGACUAGCUACUUGAGUCAUGAAGUUAAAAGACCCAACUACAGUCAGAUUGCUGAUUUUAUUAUGAAUUAUAACAACAAGCACCUUCUGACUGGAAUCAUUUGCCAGAUAACCUGUGAACAAUUAACUCUUUUCGUACCUUUUAAAAAAAAAAAAAUUAAAUCGCCCUUCCACUGCUUCCAAUAAUAAUGUCUUCCUGCUCCCUUAAUAAGGAGGCUUCUGAUUGUACUGUAAUCUUUGUAAUUACCAUCAUUAGUGUCAAUACUUACAAUGUUAUUAGUUAAUAUGUGAUGUGAAAUCUCGUGCUUGUUUACGUUGUGUGGGUGGAGUAGCGAUACAGAAUGAAUGCCCUGGUGGGUUGGACCUCCCUUGAAAACGAGAUGAUUCAUCUCAAGAGGGUAUUCAUCAAUGAAUGUACAUUUAAAUCUGCUGAUGAAUAAUACCAUUUGGAACAGAAACAAGAACUGUUUUGUUGCAGACAUUUGAGCCUCUCACCUGCAACAUCAUGAUAAUAAUAAUAAUGAUAA